GAUUACGUAUGCUGCCCCAUCCUACUACACCGAGGCUCCUAAUUGCUACACCAAGGCUCCCGCUUAUAACUCCACCAAAACGGUCGAGUACUACACCGAAGAGGCAAAGUACUUCUCUGCCCCGAUCUACACAACCACAACUGAGGCGGCCAAGUAUUACGCAGUCCCGACUUGCUAAACAGAAGAUGCUCUUUCGUGAUACGUUGAUCUAAAACACUACACUGAUGAGCACUCCAGUUUACUACACCAAGACCUACGCUACACCUAGCUACAACAGCGCAGCCCCCAAGUACUACACCGAAGAAGCCGCCUAUUACACAACCACGUACGCUGCCUGGUAUACUACAUCGGAAUUUAAGUAUUACCCUGCUCCAAACUACUACAAAACUGAGGUUCAUAUGUAUUACACCAGCAAUUCUCCCGACUAUGUCCCCACUACUUAUGUUGCUCCGACCUGUACACCAAAGUUCUGAAGUAUUUCUCUGGAUGUGUUGAAAGAUUGCUGAAAUACAAGAUUGAUCGAUAAAUCACAA